rnacentral:rRNA from 1 species
CCUACGGGAGGCAGCAGUGGGGAAUUUUGGACAAUGGGCGCAAGCCUGAUCCAGCAAUGCCGCGUGAGUGAAGAAGGCCUUCGGGUUGUAAAGCUCUUUUGUCAGGGAAGAAACGGUGAAGGCUAAUAUCCUUUGCUAAUGACGGUACCUGAAGAAUAAGCACCGGCUAACUGCGUGCCAGCAGCCGCGGUAAUACGUAGGGUGCAAGCGUUAAUCGGAAUUACUGGGCGUAAAGCGUGCGCAGGCGGUUUUGUAAGUUUGUCGUGAAAUCCCCGGGCUCAACCUGGGAAUGGCGAUGAAGACUGCAAGGCUAGAAUCUGGCAGAGGGGGGUAGAAUUCCACGUGUAGCAGUGAAAUGCGUAGAGAUGUGGAGGAACACCGAUGGCGAAGGCAGCCCCCUGGGUCAAGAUUGACGCUCAUGCACGAAAGCGUGGGGAGCAAACAGGAUUAGAUACCCUGGUAGUCCACGCCCUAAACGAUGUCUACUAGUUGUCGGGUUUUAAUUAACUUGGUAACGCAGCUAACGCGUGAAGUAGACCGCCUGGGGAGUACGGUCGCAAGAUUAAAACUUAAAUUAAGUUAGUAGUUGGCGNGNGAGAGCGACGACGACGACGAGGAGGAGGAG